ACGAACGCUGGCGGCGUGCUUAACACAUGCAAGUCGAACGGAAAGGCCUGCUUUCCCUUGUGGAUUGCGGGUACUCGAGUGGCGAACGGGUGAGUAACACGUGAGUGAUCUGCCCCCAACUUGGGUAUAAGCCUGGGAAACUGGGUCUAAUUCCCGAUAGGACUGCAGGGUGGUGCCUGUGGUGGAAAACGAUUUUCUAGUGGUUGGGGAUGAGCUCGCGGCCUAUCAGCUUGUUGGUGGGGUAAUGGCCUACCAAGGCGGCGACGGGUAGCCGGCCUGAGAGGGUGGACGGCCACAUUGGGACUGAGAUACGGCCCAGACUCCUACGGGAGGCAGCAGUGGGGAAUAUUGCACAAUGGGCGGAAGCCUGAUGCAGCGACGCCGCGUGGGGGAUGACGGCCUUCGGGUUGUAAACUCCUUUCGACCGCGAGGAAGCCACCUGGUUGGAAGGGUGGUGACGGUAGUGGUAGAAGAAGCACCGGCUAACUAAGUG
rnacentral:rRNA from 1 species